UACGGAGCCAUCUGAAGUAGGCGGAGAAACUNGACACCGAGUUGAUAGGGAGGAUUUAAAAACGGGACCGACCUACCUUCACACCCUUGUGUAUCUACCAUGUUGCUUUGGAGGGCCGACCCGCUUUUGACCCGGGCGGUCGGCCGCCCCAGCCUAGUCUCUAGGCCAGGACGCCUGGCUAAGUGCACGCCAGUAUACAAAACUCCAGCGAUUAUUCUGUGUAGUCCUGAGAAUUCAUUUAAUGAAAUAAAACUUUCAACAACGGAUCUCUUGGUUCUGGCAUCGAUGAAGAACGCAGCGAAAUGCGAUAAGUAAUGUGAAUUGCAGAAUUCAGUGAAUCAUCGAAUCUUUGAACGCACAUUGCGCGCCCUGCCAUUCGGGGGGGCAUGCUUGUUCGAGCGUCAUUUCAACCCUCAAGCUCUGUUNGUUAUUGGGCGACGUCGGCUGCCGAACGCGCUUGGAAGACCUCGGCGACGGGGUCUCAGCCUCGAGCGUUGUAGUAAAAUAUCUCGGCUUGGAGGAAGGGGGCGCUGCCGGCGGAAAAAUCGACUUCGGUCACUAUUUUCCAAGGUGGACUCGGAUCAGGUAGGGAUACGGGCGGACUUUAGCAAUCAUUAGGGGGGNAAANG
rnacentral:rRNA from 1 species